rnacentral:rRNA from 1 species
GUGACUGCGUACCUUUUGUAUAAUGGGUCAGCGACUUAUAUUCUGUAGCAAGGUUAACCGAAUAGGGGAGCCGAAGGGAAACCGAGUCUUAACUGGGCGUUAAGUUGCAGGGUAUAGACCCGAAACCCGGUGAUCUAGCCAUGGGCAGGUUGAAGGUUGGGUAACACUAACUGGAGGACCGAACCGACUAAUGUUGAAAAAUUAGCGGAUGACCUGUGGCUGGGGGUGAAAGGCCAAUCAAACCGGGAGAUAGCUGGUUCUCCCCGAAAGCUAUUUAGGUAGCGCCUCGUGAACUCAUCUUCGGGGGUAGAGCACUGUUUCGGCUAGGGGGUCAUCCCGACUUACCAACCCGAUGCAAACUGCGAAUACCGAAGAAUGUUAUCACGGGAGACACACGGCGGGUGCUAACGUCCGUCGUGAAGAGGGAAACAACCCAGACCGCCAGCUAAGGUCCCAAAGUCAUGGUUAAGUGGGAAACGAUGUGGGAAGGCCCAGACAGCCAGGAUGUUGGCUUAGAAGCAGCCAUCAUUUAAAGAAAGCGUAAUAGCUCACUGGUCGAGUCGGCCUGCGCGGAAGAUGUAACGGGGCUAAACCAUGCACCGAAGCUGCGGCAGCGACGCUUAUGCGUUGUUGGGUAGGGGAGCGUUCUGUAAGCCGUUGAAGGUGUGCUGUGAGGCAUGCUGGAGGUAUCAGAAGUGCGAAUGCUGACAUAAGUAACGAUAAAGCGGGUGAAAAGCCCGCUCGCCGGAAGACCAAGGGUUCCUGUCCAACGUUAAUCGGGGCAGGGUGAGUCGACCCCUAAGGCGAGGCCGAAAGGCGUAGUCGAUGGGAAACAGGUUAAUAUUCCUGUACUUGGUGUUACUGCGAAGGGGGGACGGAGAAGGCUAUGUUAGCCGGGCGACGGUUGUCCCGGUUUAAGCAUGUAGGCGGAGGUUCCAGGUAAAUCCGGUACCUUUUAACGCUGAGGUGUGAUGACGAGGCACUACGGUGCUGAAGUAACAAAUGCCCUGCUUCCAGGAAAAGCCUCUAAGCAUCAGGUAACACGAAAUCGUACCCCAAACCGACACAGGUGGUCAGGUAGAGAAUACCAAGGCGCUUGAGAGAACUCGGGUGAAGGAACUAGGCAAAAUGGUGCCGUAACUUCGGGAGAAGGCACGCUGACAUGUAGGUGAAGCCCCUGCGGGUGGAGCUGAAGUCAGUCGAAGAUACCAGCUGGCUGCAACUGUUUAUUAAAAACACAGCACUGUGCAAACACGAAAGUGGACGUAUACGGUGUGACGCCUGCCCGGUGCCGGAAGGUUAAUUGAUGGGGUUAUCCUCGCGGAGAAGCUCUUGAUCGAAGCCCCGGUAAACGGCGGCCGUAACUAUAACGGUCCUAAGGUAGCGAAAUUCCUUGUCGGGUAAGUUCCGACCUGCACGAAUGGCGUAAUGAUGGCCAGGCUGUCUCCACCCGAGACUCAGUGAAAUUGAACUCGCUGUGAAGAUGCAGUGUACCCGCGGCAAGACGGAAAGACCCCGUGAACCUUUACUAUAGCUUGACACUGAACAUUGAGCCUUGAUGUGUAGGAUAGGUGGGAGGCUUUGAAGCGUGGACGCCAGUCUGCGUGGAGCCAACCUUGAAAUACCACCCUUUAAUGUUUGAUGUUCUAACCUGGCGCCGUAAUCCGGCGUGGGGACAGUGUCUGGUGGGUAGUUUGACUGGGGCGGUCUCCUCCUAAAGAGUAACGGAGGAGCACGAAGGUUGGCUAAUCCUGGUCGGACAUCAGGAGGUUAGUGCAAUGGCAUAAGCCAGCUUGACUGCGAGCGUGACGGCGCGAGCAGGUGCGAAAGCAGGUCAUAGUGAUCCGGUGGUUCUGAAUGGAAGGGCCAUCGCUCAACGGAUAAAAGGUACUCCGGGGAUAACAGGCUGAUACCGCCCAAGAGUUCAUAUCGACGGCGGUGUUUGGCACCUCGAUGUCGGCUCAUCACAUCCUGGGGCUGAAGUAGGUCCCAAGGGUAUGGCUGUUCGCCAUUUAAAGUGGUACGCGAGCUGGGUUUAGAACGUCGUGAGACAGUUCGGUCCCUAUCUGCCGUGGGCGCUGGAGAAUUGAGGGGGGCUGCUCCUAGUACGAGAGGACCGGAGUGGACGCAUCACUGGUGUUCGGGUUGUCAUGCCAAUGGCAUUGCCCGGUAGCUACAUGCGGAAGAGAUAAGUGCUGAAAGCAUCUAAGCACGAAACUUGCCCCGAGAUGAGUUCUCCCUGAGACUUAGAGUCUCCUGAAGGAACGUU